rnacentral:rRNA from 1 species
GACGAACGCUGGCGGCGUGCCUAAUACAUGCAAGUAGAACGCACAGUUUAUACCGUAGCUUGCUACACCAUAGACUGUGAGUUGCGAACGGGUGAGUAACGCGUAGGUAACCUGCCUGGUAGCGGGGGAUAACUAUUGGAAACGAUAGCUAAUACCGCAUAAUAUUGAUUAUUGCAUGAUAAUUAAUUGAAAGGUGCAAUUGCACCACUACCAGAUGGACCUGCGUUGUAUUAGCUAGUAGGUGAGGUAACGGCUCACCUAGGCGACGAUACAUAGCCGACCUGAGAGGGUGAUCGGCCACACUGGGACUGAGACACGGCCCAGACUCCUACGGGAGGCAGCAGUAGGGAAUCUUCGGCAAUGGACGAAAGUCUGACCGAGCAACGCCGCGUGAGUGAAGAAGGGUUUCGGAUCGUAAAGCUCUGUUGUAAGAGAAGAACGGGUGUGAGAGUGGAAAGUUCACACUGUGACGGUAUCUUACCAGAAAGGGACGGCUAACUACGUG